rnacentral:rRNA from 1 species
UACGGGGGGGCAAGCGUUGUUCGGAAUUACUGGGCGUAAAGGGCUCGUAGGUGGCCAACUAAGUCAGACGUGAAAUCCCUCAGCUUAACUGGGGAACUGCGUCUGAUACUGGAUGGCUUGAGUUCGGGAGAGGGAUGCGGAAUUCCAGGUGUAGCGGUGAAAUGCGUAGAUAUCAGGAGGAACACCGGUGGCGAAGGCGGUGAUCUGGGCCGGUACUGACGCUGAGGAGCGAAAGCGUGGGGAGCGAACAGG